UUGAGCCGUACGAGAUGAAAUUCUCAUAUACGGUUCUCAGAGGGGAGUUCUAUUGGGUUACCUAUCUCAAU
rnacentral:ncRNA from 1 species